rnacentral:rRNA from 1 species
UACAGAGGUCUCGAGCGUUGUUCGGAUUCAUUGGGCGUAAAGGGCGCGUAGGCUGCGGGGUAAGUCGGGUGUGAAAUCUCAGAGCUCAACUCUGAAACUGCACUCGAUACUGCUCUGCUUGAGGACUGGAGAGGAGACUGGAAUUCACGGUGUAGCAGUGAAAUGCGUAGAUAUCGUGAGGAAGACCAGUGGCGAAGGCGGCAUCCUGGACCAACACUGACACUGAGGAGCGAAAGCCAGGGGAGCAAACGGG